GCUAAUACCGCAUACGCCCUACGGGGGAAAGGAGGGGACCUUCGGGCCUUCCGCGAUUGGAUGAACCUAGGUGGGAUUAGCUAGUUGGUGAGGUAAUGGCUCACCAAGGCGACGAUCCCUAGCUGUUCUGAGAGGAUGAUCAGCCACACUGGGACUGAGACACGGCCCAGACUCCUACGGGAGGCAGCAGUGGGGAAUAUUGCACAAUGGGGGAAACCCUGAUGCAGCCAUGCCGCGUGUGUGAAGAAGGCCUUCGGGUUGUAAAGCACUUUCAGUAG
rnacentral:rRNA from 1 species